rnacentral:misc_RNA from 1 species
GAUGAAGAACAUAGCGAAAUGCGAUAAGUAGUGUGAAUUGCAGAAUUCAGUGAAUCAUCGAAUCUUUGAACGCACAUUGCGCCCCUUGGUAUUCCAUGGGGCAUGCCUGUUCGAGCGUCAUUUGUACCUUCAAGCUCUGCUUGGUGUUGGGUGUUUGUCUCGCCUCUGCGUGUAGACUCGCCUCAAAACAAUUGGCAGCCGGCGUAUUGAUUUCGGAGCGCAGUACAUCUCGCGCUUUGCACUCAUAACGACGACGUCCAAAAGUACAUUUUUACACUCUUGACCUCGGAUCAGGUAGGGAUACCCGCUGAACUUAAGCAUAUCAAUAAGCGGAGGA